UUCGUUUUCUAUCGAAGGAAAAGAAACUAUACGUCAGUUCAGCCUUGUCGGAGGUAGUGCGGCGUUCCCUUUCCUCUAUCUUUUUUUGAUGUUAGAGGUUGCACACGCCACUAACGUCGAAAAAACCAGGGGCAUUGGAUGGCAGCUCGUCACUAAUCGUAAUAGGCCUAUCGUCCGUUGUGAGGCACAAUCAAAAAUACGUGUCUUUCCGCUUAGUACCGCCCCUUCUUAAGUAUCUCUCUUGCCCCAGCCAUCGCGCAAAAGGGUGAAGAAAAAUGCGAUGUCAUUAAUACCGCUACGAAGAGACACCGUCACUAACCGUGUUCUACAUUGCUCUCGGGCCUGAAUAAAAGCCCUGAAUACCAUGUGUCCAACCAUGUCCAACCACCAACUCGUGUCCAUAAGGCCCGCUGUGCACAGAAAACACAGCUAUACGAACAGGUCUUGCUAAUUCUGUAAAGAUAGCCUUAGACUGACCCAACACUUGUAAGAAACUGGGUGAGAUAGUGGGCAAGUUCUCUACUGGGCCGUGUUGUCUAAGUCUCAACAUUAGGAAUAAUGUCUCUCACAGCCGCCCCGAUGAGCAUCUGGCCAGCAUCCGUAGAAGGUGGACCCUUGGGGAACUUCAACAUCAUAUGGUCAAGACGCGCUAUUGAAAGAAGAUGGUUAUAUCGUUUUCGUCCUGAAAAUUUCGCCAUGAAAGAUACUGCUCGUAAUAGUCAACCAGUUGCGAAAAAGUUUAUGAAAUUAUUCCAAAAGUUUUCCGAAGCUGACACGUGAGUAGCCGUGACCCAUCAAGGAACCAAACAUCUACUGCCGAACAGUUUUAGAACAUUUGAAAAAAGCUAGCUACGAAAAAAUGUUCGAUAUUUGGCUCUCAAUCGAAUUGACGCAGAAAGUUUACUCGAUCAUAAUUCUACUUGCGAAAUUUUACAGAAACACAACAAAAUCGAUCCGUUUCUUAAAGGGUUGAUUGCAUGUAAUGAAAAAUAGAUCACAUGAACGACAAUGUGUAAGUAAAAGACAGUAUUCUCUACAAUAUGUGACAGAGCUCACACUGACA